GGGGGGGGGGGGGGGGGGGGGGGGGGGGGGGGGGGGGGGGGGGGGGGGGGGGGGGGGGGGGGGGGGGGGGGGCUGGUCUGGCCUGGUUUGGUCUGUCUGGUCUGGUUUAGUCUGGUUUAGUCUGGUCUGGUCUAGUCUGGUCUGGUCUGGUUUCCCAAUGGGAGGUGUGAAAACUGGGAGUGGUGUAGCACAGGACCCACGUCCCCAACAGAUCCUCAGCAUUUCAGAAAUAUUUGGGAAGGAAGUUGAUUUUCUACAGUACAGCAUUGAGAAUUUUAGGUUUUUAAGUGUCAGUUAACCAAUAAGUUGGUUAAUUGGUUAAUUAACCAAUAAAUCCAUUGCUGGGGGGAAAAAUAAAAGCAGUGUAUUCUCCAUGAUGUUUUUGCAGAUGUACAUAGAAAUUCUCAUUCUCCCAAACUAAGGAAAAAAAACAAACCCUGCAGUCUGGUCUGGUUUGGUCUGUCUAGUCUGGUUUAGUCUGGUCUGGUCUGGUCUGGUCUGGUUUAGUCUGGUUUGGUCUGUCUGGUCUGGUUUAGUCUGGACUGGUCUGUCUGGUCUGGUUUAGUCUGGUUUGGUUUGGUCUGGUCUGGUUUAGUCUGGUGUCUGGUUUAGUCUGGUUUACUCUGAUUUAGUCUGGUCUGGUCUUGUCUGUCUGGUCUGGUUUAGUCUGGUUUGGUCUGGUUUGGUCUGUCUGGUCUGGUUUGGUCUGGUUUGGUCUGGUUUAGUCUGGUAUGGUCUGGUCUGGUUUAGUCUGGUUUGGUUUAGUCUGGUUGAUUUAGUCCAAUGGGAGGUGUGAAAACUGGGAGUGGUGUAGCACAGGACCCACGUCCCCAACAGAUCCUCAGCAUUUCAGAAAUAUUUGGGAAGGAAGUUGAUUUUCUACAGUACAGCAUUGAGAAUUUUAGGUUUUUAAGUGUCAGUUAACCAAUAAGUUGGUUAAUUGGUUAAUUAACCAAUAAAUCCAUUGCUGGGGGGAAAAAUAAAAGCAGUGUAUUCUCCAUGAUGUUUUUGCAGAUGUACAUAGAAAUUCUCAUUCUCCCAAACUAAGGAAAAAAAACAAACCCUGCAGAUUUAAAGAGGCAAAAUAAAGCCUUGAUCAGGCUAGAAAAACCAGGAUUGUCAAAUGAUCCCUGUGUAAUCAUCCACUUUAAGAAUAAAAAAUCAGCUCCAAAUUUUUGUUGUACAUAUUGUUGCUGCAUGCUUACCAUAUGUUAGAUGGAAGCAUUUCCUAUCCAUUGUGGAUAAAAGAACAUUUUUCAAGUUGUAGUAAAUUAUUAUAAAGCCAAUGACAUUUCAUGGCAUGUUACCG
rnacentral:lncRNA from 12 species